UUUUACAUAUUUCAGUAUUUUGUCUUCAAAAACGAUUUAGUUUUGAAAAAUUUGGAAAGCAAAAUUUUUAGUUUCAUCAAAAUUCAAAUUUAAAAUGCCAAAUUGGACGGAUUUUCAAAGAAAGCACGUACUAAGUCCAGUAGAAGCUCCAGACUGUUUACAAUGGAAUAGGAGUCAAUGGAACGCCUGGCUUCAAAAGCGUUUACCGAAUGAUUUCGGUGGUAAGCGAGUAAACAGCGUUGUGGUGUCGACACCGGAGGCGAUAAUGAACGAUUUUCAGACUCUAAAUCAUGAGUUUGCAAAAAACGAUUUCUAUUGGAGCAAUCACACAUACAGAGUCUUCGGCCUGGUAAUCGACCAUAGCUUGCCAGUAGAUGCCCCGUAUCGUGUUUUUAAUUUUGGUGAAAUGUAUAUACUCGCUAAAAUAUCAAUAAACCCGAACGUUCCCGUGCAUUUUGAAGCUCAAAAUACCAUUCGACCAGACUCCGGACGCCCGAACGUUAAUUUUUCGAAUUAUCCAGUAGUUUCUGAUUAACAUUUUGGUUUUUUUUUAUCGAUUAAAAUUCCUUGUGUUUUUCAACU